rnacentral:rRNA from 1 species
GAUGAACGCUAGCGACAGGCCUAACACAUGCAAGUCGAGGGGUAUCGGUUUCGGCCGAGAGACCGGCGCACGGGUGCGUAACGCGUAUGUAACCUGCCUCACACUGGGGGAUAGCCUUCCGAAAGGGAGAUUAAUACCGCAUAAUACUAUUGUCCUGCCUGGGAUGAUAUUUAAAACUUCGGUGGUGUGAGAUGGACAUGCGUAUGAUUAGCUAGUUGGCGGGGUAACGGCCCACCAAGGCAACGAUCAUUAGGGGUUCUGAGAGGAAGAUCCCCCACACUGGUACUGAGACACGGACCAGACUCCUACGGGAGGCAGCAGUGAGGAAUAUUGGUCAAUGGGCGCAAGCCUGAACCAGCCAUGUCGCGUGCAGGAAGACGGCCCUAUGGGUUGUAAACUGCUUUUGUAUGGGAAGAAACGACGGUACG